GUGGACGCCAGUCUGCGUGGAGCCGACCUUGAAAUACCACCCUUUAAUGUUUGAUGUUCUAACGUGGACCCGUAAUCCGGGUUGCGGACAGUGUCUGGUGGGUAGUUUGACUGGGGCGGUCUCCUCCUAAAGAGUAACGGAGGAGCACGAAGGUUGGCUAAUCCUGGUCGGACAUCAGGAGGUUAGUGCAAUGGCAUAAGCCAGCUUGACUGCGAGCGUGACGGCGCGAGCAGGUGCGAAAGCAGGUCAUAGUGAUCCGGUGGUUCUGAAUGGAAGGGCCAUCGCUCAACGGAUAAAAGGUACUCCGGGGAUAACAGGCUGAUACCGCCCAAGAGUUCAUAUCGACGGCGGUGUUUGGCACCUCGAUGUCGGCUCAUCACAUCCUGGGGCUGAAGUAGGUCCCAAGGGUAUGGCUGUUCGCCAUUUAAAGUGGUACGCGAGCUGGGUUUAGAACGUCGUGAGACAGUUCGGUCCCUAUCUGCCGUGGGCGCUGGAGAACUGAGGGGGGCUGCUCCUAGUACGAGAGGACCGGAGUGGACGCAUCACUGGUGUUCGGGUUGUCAUGCCAAUGGCACUGCCCGGUAGCUAAAUGCGGAAGAGAUAAGUGCUGAAAGCAUCUAAGCACGAAACUUGCCCCGAGAUGAGUUCUCCCUGAGACUUAGAGUCUCCUGAAGGAACGUUGAAGACGACGACGUUGAUAGGCCGGGUGUGUAAGCGCAGCGAUGCGUUGAGCUAACCGGUACUAAUGAACCGUGAGGCUUAACCUUACAACGCCGAAG
rnacentral:rRNA from 5 species